rnacentral:rRNA from 1 species
ACUCAAAGGAAUUGACGGGGGCUCACACAAGCGGUGGAGCAUGUGGCUUAAUUCGAGGCUACGCGAAGAACCUUAUCCCGGACUUGACAUGUGCGAAAGCGCGAGCAGGUAGGACCCGGAAACGGGGACGAACGGUACCCAACCCGGAAGCUCGUACAGGUGCUGCAUGGCUGUCGUCAGCUCGUGUCGUGAGAUGUCGGGUUAAGUCCCAUAACGAGCGAAACCCCUACCCUGAGUUGCGACCCAACGGGCACUCUCGGGGGACUGCCGGUGUCAAACCGGAGGAAGGUGGGGAUGACGUCAAGUCCUCAUGGCCUUUAUGUCCGGGGCUGCACACGUGCUACAAUGGCGUGGACAAAGGGAUGCGACGGCGCGAGCCGGAGCCGACCCCGGAAAGCACGCCCCAGUUCGGAUCGCAGGCUGCAACUCGCCUGCGUGAAGCCGGAAUCGCUAGUAAUCGCGGGUCAGCAACACCGCGGUGAAUGUGUUCCUGAGCCUUGCACACACCGCCCGU